rnacentral:rRNA from 1 species
UACGGGGGGGGGCAAGCGUUGUUCGGAAUUACUGGGCGUAAAGGGCUCGUAGGCGGCCAACUAAGUCAUACGUGAAAUCCCUCGGCUUAACCGGGGAACUGCGUCUGAUACUGGAUGGCUUGAGUUCGGGAGAGGGAUGCGGAAUUCCAGGUGUAGCGGUGAAAUGCGUAGAUAUCUGGAGGAACACCGGUGGCGAAGGCGGCAUCCUGGACCGAUACUGACGCUGAUGAGCGAAAGCCAGGGGAGCAAACGGG